UGAGGAAUAUUGGUCAAUGGACGGAAGUCUGAACCAGCCAAGUAGCGUGCAGGAUGACGGCCCUAUGGGUUGUAAACUGCUUUUGUAUGGGGAUAAAGUUAGGGACGUGUCCCUAUUUGCAGGUACCAUACGAAUAAGGACCGGCUAAUUCCGUGCCAGCAGCCGCGGUAAUACGGAAGGUCCAGGCGUUAUCCGGAUUUAUUGGGUUUAAAGGGAGCGUAGGCUGGAGAUUAAGUGUGUUGUGAAAUGUAGACGCUCAACGUCUGAAUUGCAGCGCAUACUGGUUUCCUUGAGUACGCACAACGUUGGCGGAAUUCGUCGUGUAGCGGUGAAAUGCUUAGAUAUGACGAAGAACUCCGAUUGCGAAGGCAGCUGACGGGGGCGCAACUGACGCUUAAGCUCGAAGGUGCGGGUAUCAAACAGGAUUAGAUACCCUGGUAGUCCGCACAGUAAACGAUGGAUGCCCGCUGUUGGUACCUGGUAUCAGCGGCUAAGCGAAAGCAUUAAGCAUCCCACCUGGGGAGUACGCCGGCAACGGUG
rnacentral:rRNA from 1 species